AGCAAUGUGGCCUAGUGGAUAGAGUAUGGGCUUGGGAGUCCUAAGGACCUGGGUUCUAAUCCUGGCUUUGCUA
rnacentral:tRNA from 1 species